GUGCUCACUUUGGCAGCACAUAUACAAAAAUUGGAACGAUACAGAGAAGAUUAGCAUGGCCCCUGCACAAGGAUGACAUGCAAAUUCGUGAAGUGUUCCAUAUUUUU
ensembl:snRNA U6 U6 spliceosomal RNA